GUUUUUAAAGACCUUCUUAUGAAGGUAUGCUUAAAGAGGGGCUUGCGCCACAUUAGUUAGUUGGUAGGGUAAAAGCCUACCAAGACGAUGAUGUGUAGCUGGACUGAGAGGUUGAACAGCCACAUUGGGACUGAGACACGGCCCAAACUCCUACGGGAGGCAGCAGUAGGGAAUUUUCGGCAAUGGAGGAAACUCUGACCGAGCAACGCCGCGUGAACGAUGAAGUAUUUCGGUAUGUAAAGUUCUUUUAUUGAAGAAGAAAAAGUAGUGGAAAAACUAUAUUGACGUUAUUCAAUGAAUAAGCCCCGGCUAACUAUGUGCCAGCAGCCGCGGUAAGACAUAGGGGGCGAGCGUUAUCCGGAAUUAUUGGGCGUAAAGGGUGCGUAGGCUGUUAGAUAAGUCUAUAAUUUAAUUUCAGUGCUUAACGCUGUCUUGUUAUAGAAACUGUCUUGACUAGAGUGAGAUAGAGGCAAGCGGAAUUCCAUGUGUAGCGGUAAAAUGUGUAAAUAUAUGGAGGAACACCAGAAGCGUAGGCGGCUUGCUGGGUCUUUACUGACGCUGAGGCACGAAAGCGUGGGUAGCAAACAGGAUUAGAUACCCUGGUAGUCCACGCCGUAAACGAUGAGUACUAAGUGUCGGGGUAAAACUCGGUACUGAAGUUAACACAUUAAGUACUCCGCCUGAGUAGUACGUACGCAAGUAUGAAACUUAAAGGAAUUGACGGGACUCCGCACAAGCGGUGGAUCAUGUUGUUUAAUUCGAAGAUACACGAAAAAUCUUACCAGGUCUUGACAUACUCUGCAAAGCUAUAGAAAUAUAGUGGAGGUUAUCAGGGAUACAGGUGGUGCAUGGUUGUCGUCAGUUCGUGUCGUGAGAUGUUAGGUUAAGUCCUAAAACGAGCGCAACCCUUGUCGUUAAUUGCCAGCACGUAAUGGUGGGGACUUUAGCGAGACUGCCAAUUAAACAUUGGAGGAAGGUGAGGAUUACGUCAAAUCAUCAUGCCCCUUAUGAUCUGGGCUACAAACGUGAUACAAUGGCUGUGACAAAGAGUAGCUGAAACGCGAGUUUUUAGCCAAUCUCAAAAAAGCAGUCUCAGUUCGGAUUGAAGUCUGUAACUCGACUUCAUGAAGUUGGAAUCGCUAGUAAUCGCGAAUCAGC
rnacentral:rRNA from 1 species